rnacentral:lncRNA from 1 species
GAUUUUAAAAUAAAGUGUUUUAUUUAUAUUUUUUCAUGGAGUAUUACAUCAAUAAUAAUAAUAUUACAUAGUAAUAGUACAUAAAAAUUUAAAAAAUAAGAGAUUUUUUUUUCUGUUGCAGCAUCACACGCCCUCAUGCUUUUGCAAUGCAUUCAUCCUCUUCAUCCAUGUUCAUUAUCAUCACAUCAACAAGCACAUGAAAAAACAAUAAGAAAAAUCAGCAAGCAAAAUUAAUCAUAAUACAUACAUCCAUACAUGAAAAUUUUGGGACCAUAGAAAAUCACUUAAAACUCAUGCACAUUUCACAGUAAUCCAAAUUCAAUUUUCAUCUGCAUUUCAUUUAAAUUUAAACAAAAUCAAAUCCAAAUUCACAAACAAAAUCAUCCCAACCAUUGAUCAUAGAGAGCACACGGAUUCUUUCACAAACUUCCCCCUAAUUUCAUUUUCACUCACCAAUUUUCCCCUCUCAAAUCUCACUAACACCCCUAUAUAACAAUAUAGUUUUCACACUAAAUUCAUCAAAAGAAAAAUCCUAACUACACUCUACUAAAAUCACUCAUCAAUCCCACACCUAAAGUUCAUUAAUUUUUUUCUCAAACUUCAUAUUGAAACUUGAGUAAGUUUGAACUUAACAACCAAUACGUACUAGGAAACGAGAGAAGCAGAGAAGAAGGAUAGUGAUUGAAGAAAAGAGCAUAGAGAAGAUUCUGAGAUACCUGAUUUAAAGCUUUCAAUCAUAGCUCCCUUUGGUUCCUUUACUUUUGUUGUUUUAAUUUUAGUGCUCUUUUCCACUUGGGCCAAGCAUAAGGCCCG